AACGGCGUGGAGUAACGGAUAACACAUCAGCCCGGUCAACUGAAGAUGCUGGUUCGCUCCCAGCCGCCGAAU